UCCUAUGGAUGAGCAAAGCGUGGUUUCUUGAGAUGGAAUCUACUCCUGGUGAGGAUGUUGUGAA
rnacentral:pre_miRNA from 2 species